AAAAAGGAGGAUUGGCAGCAGAUGUUAGCUCAGGGCUAACCUUUCUCAAAAAAAAAAAAAGUUUUGUAAAGGCUGUCUUACGUUGGUGUCUAUUAAAAACAAGGAUUUAACAUUUUUAACUGGAUCUUUGAGGCAAAGGCACCGUUAUGUAGGCAGAGGUGGUGGUAAACCCUAGAAAAGUGUGGAAACAUCUAUUAGUCUUUACUAAAGAGUAAUCUAGCCCUUAAAAUGGAGCUUGAAUUUUUUUAUUUUUAGAUGAGUGUGAUUAGCAUCAGGCUAGAGGAGUAUGUUAAGCACAAGCAAGCUUUUUGUUCCUCUUCCCGCACUCCUGAGACCCAUAGAGGAGGAAGGGAAAAUCUAGCCAAGGAGGGGAAGUAAGAUCCCAGCUCUCACCACUCCGGGCUGAGGAUGGAGCAGGCUAAGGGGUGGGGUAUUGUCCUCCCAGCUGGGAUCCUGAGAAAGCUCAGUCCACCAGACAGAACGGACUUGCCCGCAGUCAGCUCCGGCAAGAGCAGUGGAGGCAUCAUGGCUGGAUUAGCAGUGCCCCAGAGAGGCCAUCGGGCUCUCCCAUCCUCCGGAAGAGACCCCGUUGGGUGAAGUCUGACUCAUUGCUGGUGGUCUGGUGCUGGGGCAGAUGGGUCGUCAAGAUCAAAGUUGAAGAUUAACCUUACAGAGGGUGAUCAGAUAUUUGGGACUUGGCCACAUAAGUGUUAACACAUCCGAGAGUCCAGGACUGGGACCAGUGCUCCCCAGCCAAAAAUAAAUCAUGAGUCAUUUUUAAAAACAUGGCUUACACUUCAAAUAGCAUAAGCACACCUAAAUUCUAAAGUUAAACUGCCCUAUCACAAGCAAGAUGCUUCAGCCAGCUUUUUAUCUAAACCCGUGGCUCCUGGUCACACCUGCUGAUUAGCGCUGCUUUCAGUUGGGCUCCCGCCUGGAAAGGAGGGAGGAGGGGUUCCUAGCUCAAGGGUCGAUUUCCUGAGCUUUCUCCGAGUUCACACGAAACAUCCCUGAAGACUCUUUCUCCACUCUUCUUCUUCUGUUCCGUGUUCGCUGACCAUCUUCUCCGCUUUCCUAGUUUGAUUUCCACGGCACGUUGGCUUUGGGAGAGAAUGUGCCAGAGAAGGGACAGAGAAGGGCUUUUCUAGGCAGAAACUCCAUCUCCUUCAAGCUUCCUCCUUCUCCAUGAACUAGGUGGAGUUGUGACCCCUGUGAAACUGAGGCCCUGCUGACCACCGUGUGGUCCUGCCAACCCAGGAGCUUCUGUUAACCUUGCGUUUUGAUGACAAAAGGAGAGAAAAAUUGUAAAACACCGCUUCAGAAUGUCUUUAGUUAAGAGAACACGUUGACCAAUUACCAAUCAAAGAAUGGGUCUGGCUGUCAGUAUAUUAUCACGGGCUGUUAGUAGUACUUUUGUUGGUUGAAGAAGGAUGAUUAGGUAAAAUGUGGUAUAUUUACAUAAUGGGAUAUUAUGGUGCCAUAAAAAUGGAUGGUAUGGAAGGACAUUUGUUAAUAUAAAUACUUUUAAAGCAAUAUUCAAAAUGCGCAAUUGGACUACGUUUUGUAAAAAUAAAAAAAAAGGAAAUAAUAAAGGGAUAUAAGGGCACAUGCCAGCAAAAAGGAGAAGAAAGCUUGGAAGGAUAUGCGUCAAGGUUUUAAUGGUCGUUUCUGGAAAGGUGGGCAUUUUGCUUUUCCUUUUCCUUAUUUGUUUUUCUUUAAUUAAUACAUAUUGCUUUUGUAGUGCGAAAACAUAUCUUUAAUUAAAGAAAUGAAAUAAUGAUACAGGACAUUCUUGGGGUUAAUUUUAAGUACUGUUUAUAUAAAAGUUUAAAAAUUUUUAUGCUUUGUGAACAAGUGAAUUUAUUUACUUGUCUGGUUAAAUAGCCCUUGGACAAAACGGAGCAGCUUAAACAGACUGAAUUCAGACCUCGCCAGCAGGGGGCAGUGAGAGCUGGUCCUCGCCAGGGAGCUCUGUGGCAGGCAGAGCCGACAUAGGAAGCACUGGGCACGGCAGGCUCCCCUCGGACGGGGUUCUCCUCCCGCUCUUCCAGGAUUGCUGAGCGCCACUUACCACCUUGUUUGCAUUUGCUGUUUGCCUUGAUGUUGCAGGAUCCACGCUCCCCAGCUGGUGGGGUCGUUUCGUCAGGUGCUCCGCGAGGUGGUCAGCCAGGUGACUGCAGUUAUUAUGUAUACAAUGGAGACAUCCAAACUCUACAGCACGUUCCUGGAGGGAGAGGUGUUUAUCUGUAAUAGGGGACUGGGUGUUUCUGUGCGACCCCUUUCUCUUGCACUAUCUUGAGAAUGUGUCUGGAGUUACCUGCAGACCAAAAAGUUUCCGAGCAGGCUGGUUCUGGGAAAAUGGGCAUGAUUUGGAGAGCAUCAUGCAGUGGAUGUCCUUUGGAGAUGUCCGUCUCCACACAGUAGCUCCACGGGGCGCUGGCUUUGUCCCAGGCUGGGUCUCUGUGCCUAGAACGGUGCUUGGUGUGGUAGGCACGGUGUUCUCUGUCGGGUGAGUAGAUUGGGCAGGCCUGUUUAUCUAUUUAUUUACUUAGUUAAUUUGUGGAUUUUCUUCUCAGGCUUAAACUCCUCAGCCUCCUUUGAUACUUUAAUUUCUCAUGUUCCUUUUUUUCCGGCAACAAAAGUGAAUGUCUCAAGUUGGGGCUCCUUUAGACUAGAAUGGUGCCAGGCUGUCUCAAGGGCCCUGCCCGCCGACCCCCCUCCACAGAGCAGGGCAGAGAAACACGUCCGAUCACAAACGGGACACAUAGCUCUAACAGUCUGAAAAAAUAAUUUUAAAAGCCAUUUUGAGACCUGGGAACGGUAAAAAGCACGUGAAUUCAGGGAAACUAUUUUUACACUGCAAUAAUUUCUUUUUGAAGCCUAUUUAUGGAGACAUAUGCCAACAGCUCACUAUUGUACGAGUGAUGUGAACUGAACCUCACACAAACGUAGUAUUUGUCUUUUUAUUUUUCCUUCUCUCCACUGCCCCCAACCAAAAUUUACAAACGGAUAUAAAAAUCCUGUUUGUGCCUGGUUGGCUUGUUAGAGAAACACUGACUAAAAGGCCUGUGAUAUUUCACAGGGCUGCUACCAGGUUAAAAGGAGCAAAAUGCACAUUAAAAAAUAAAUACAUAUGAGAUCCAUAAGGGGAAAAUAAAACAUUAACAUGCAAAAUGGUACAAAUUUAAAACCCUGUCUUCUCUUUCAGAUUCGAUGCUGGAUCUACUGGGUGAGUUCCAGGGUUCAGCAGAUGUUUUGCUAAAUGGGUGCCUGGUGUGCCUUUCUGGGAGGUGCUCACCCACACGUGGACCAUAAAGUGAUGCAGGACCAUUAUUUCAGGAGGGAGUAUGUGUGUAAUUUUUAAGAACACAUUCAACCCUUUUCUACUCCCACCCACAAGCUGAAUUUUGAAAUAAAAUCAUCCAGCUCACAAUUUUAUAUUCCAAAUUUCUGUCAUGUAGAGAGUCCAGAAAUUUUACUCUAAAAUAAACAUGAAAAUGAUAACGUGGACGGUGCUAAAGGGCAGAAGUGGAAUUCGGAGCCCUAUGCAGAAAAGAAACAAUGUACGUUAAAUCUUUUCGAUUUUUACAUAACCGAGAUCAAAGAAUAAAAAUCAUACUUGUAGUUACCUUGCUGUAUCACCUGGUCUUGUCAGGUGCACCACGUGCACCUCAGGCGAGCCUCCCAGGCUGCACUGCUGCCAUCUGGAGUGCCAGUCUCAGGAUGCAGGCAGAUGGAGGUGUAGCGAAGCUUCACUUACAGUUGAAACUAUCCUGUUGAGUGGCAGUAAAAAUGAAACAGGUGAGAAAUGAGCUGGUCUUCAAAGAAACUUCGGUGUUGCAGUAAACCUGCUGAGCACGGUUCUCCUGUCCUAGCAGGGCAGUGGGCAACAGCAGGACCUUUGAUGAAGCAGAAACCUGCCUGACCAGUAAUCCCAGCACCCUCCAGCAUCAGGACAAUUUUAAAGGAAGGGUUCGGUUUAUUUGUGGCAGAUGAAGGUCACGUUUUGAAAGCAAGCUUUAUUUCUGAGUCGGGGCGGUGGACACGAAGAGAGAGUAAGGGGGAGGGGAGUGUGGGGUGGAGAGGGAGAGAGAGAGAAGCUUGCCUUGCCAUUAAAGAAAGUAAAUCAAUUGGUUUUAAUUUGCAGAAGCAGUACGGUAAUGACAAGAGCAGAGGAAAAACUGUUUUUUGGAGACAUGGAACUCUCUGGAGGAUAGUUUUCAGAUCCUGAAAUUUAGAGAUGAAAAAACUUUUGAAAAGUGCCUUUAUUUAUUCUCUUGUGUCUGUGCUUUGGUAGAAUUCUACAAUGGGACCGUGAUGUCUGUUGUCAUUAGCAAAAUUCCAAGCGCCGUCUUCUAAAUUUGGAAUUGUUGGAGAGAAAUCAAUUUCCUGAGAACACUUUAGUUAAUAUUACAUUUCAAUGUAUAUGAUUUUUACUUGUAAUGUUUUAAAAAUGUUUUAUUUAUAUUUACAUUGUACAAAAUAGGUCAUUGAAAUCUAGAUCAUAUGAAAACUAUUCAGAAAAAUCAGGAGAACUACCAAUUUUCUGUUUAGAUAAAGAUUACAAAACUUCUCCAGAAUAACUUCAAUCUAAAACAUAUCAAGUUUAAAACAAAAUUAUUAUGGCAGUGCCAUUUUGAAUAAAAUUAGUUUUAAUCUAUUGGCUAAAAAAAUGUGUGAAAGAGCCAACAGUCUCUAGUUCGUAGCUUUGUCCAUUCCACUUCUCCGCACUCCUUUCAACGGUGACCUCAUCACGUUCUGUGCAGCCAACAGGAGAUGGCAGCAUUGCUUCAGCCAUUGGAAAGACCCUGCGCCCGAUCCCUUCUUCAAAGAGAAGGCUGGGAGCUGGUGGGGAGCAGAGUUACAGCAGCAGGUGCGCAGUGUGUCUCCCGAGCAGGAUGCGUAGGAAACAAAUGUGAAGUCAAGCUGGGGAAUGCCUCUGAAUGCUGCAGAUGUUUACGCAUAUUUUCCAGUGUAACAGCCCCUUUCCUUGUAAAAAUGAAAUGGGUCAGAUGUUGAGAUUUUUAUGGGAUUUAGAAAGCUGUACAUGCCUAACAAAGAACUUGCCUUUACAGCUGUGGGAUUGUUAAUCUCUACUUUUUUUAUGGAGUAGCAAUUUUCUAAGAACACUAGACACUCAUCUUCUUUAUUUCUUCUCGAAUUUCUAAACAGAUUUUAAUAAUAAUGAAUAUGGAGGCUUGAUCUCAGAGCAAUAAAAAGACAUACGUGCACCUGGAUUACUCCUGUCCGUUUUGCUACACUGUUAGGAUAGGAGAGAAAAGGUUAGACUGGUAAAUGCAGGGGCCUCAAGGUCUCAAGGCCUCAGCUUCCUUUUAGUAUUCAAUUUGUACCUCUCCUUGAGGAGGCAACUUCCAAGACAUACAAACCCCUCAUGUGCAACCUGGAUCUAUUUUGCUGAAAUACUUUAAAAAAUAUAUAUAUGCAAACAAACUUACAUAUGUUAUGUGUGUAAAGAACUUGUAAUAUUCUUUCUUAUCUUCCUUUAGAAAAUGUAACCAGCUAUUUGAAGAGUACCUGGAAAAUCAACAUUUAAUGGAUUUAUGAAAAAAGAGGAGAAAAUGAAGAUCUAAAUAGGCAAGUUUUCUUGCUACCUAUGUUCGGUCUUUACCCUGGUUAAAAAGGAAAAGAUUCAAUAGAUUAUGUUAAAUUGGAGAGUUGCGUUCCAGCCUUUCCUUUGGUUUUAAAAUUCUGUAUUCUUAGAAAUCUUGUUCAGGAGCUAUUUCCCAAAACCCUACCUUUAAAAUAUGGAUUUCUAUUGCUCAUUUUCAUUAACCUUUGAGCUUUAAUUUUCUCAUGCAUGCAUAUGAUAUGCUUGGGCAAUGGUUACUUUUUUAUUUUUUAUUUUUCUAUUUUGAGAAAGCAACCCCUCCAUAAUGGCAUAAGUUUGACUUGUGUGUACUAACCAGAACAUUUUAUUAAUAUGCUAACUCUUUUUCCAUUAAAAUCCUAAGUUAAUGAAUACAUAAAUACAACUAUUAUGGGUUCCCCAGAGACCCAAAGGUGAACGUGAAAUGUAGUCUACCAAUUGGCAGCUUAUAUCACUGCCUGGGUUACUGUAUCAGAAAUAAUGAAAACCAUAGAUGUUUAAUCAUAAUGCAGUCAGAGGUUUACGCUGGCCUCCUAAACAGAAGGAAGGAAGAUCUGAUUUUAAAUGCUGUUUCACCUUUCUUUUUCAAUAUGCUGGAUCUCCUCACUAAAUUGUGAACAAAGACGCUGGUAUUAAUUUUCAUCCCUUUUGACAUACUAAGGACUUUAAAGUGGGAUUUGACAGAGAGUUUUGGUGUGUUUGUAGGGCCAACCGCCGGGCAUCAGAUUGGUUAGUAAAGGUUGUUAUGGUGUGCGUACCAAUCCAUUUGGAAAGCAUUAACUCAGAGAGGGGAAUGCAAUGGCUUAAAUAUAUAUAUGUAUAUAUAGUGUUGUUCAGCCCACACCCACGGAGGGUAUGAAUCCUAGCUCUGCCAGUUAGUGAUUGUGAGACCCUAGAGAAGUCAUUUAGCUUAUAUAAAUUACAAUUCUUUUUCUCUAAAAUAGGAAUACUAAUACUGUCUUAGAGGUUUUUUUGUGGAGAUUAACUGAGAUAAUAUGUCUAAAGUGCUCAGCCCAGUGUCCAGAACAUAAAUCGUAGUGGUUAUUAUGAUCAUGAUGCAGAAUUAUCACAGUAGAUUUAAAUAUGUAUAAAUAUAUAAAAUACAGAUUACUUUUUCUUUGCAAAGCUCGAACCUUUAUAAAGAUAGUUUUAAGAUCUGUUAAAAACUCGGAUAUCCUCCAAGGAAUAGCUUAUAACUUUUAGUUACAUGGUGCUUGAGACAGUAUAUUUGUGUAACCUUCUCAGAAAAGUUUUAUAAAUGGCUUUCAUAGGCCAUAGACUUUAUUAGGGUCCCAGUCCUGAGGGUUUCAUAGAAGCUGUUCUAAAGAUUCUUUAGAAAGAUUGUAGGAAACUGUUCUGCCCAAUGGGAGUUUACGUCUGUUCAGACGCCUGCUCUUGGCUUCAGCUCUCGACUGUGGCUUUGUGCCUCCACAGACAGCAUGCACGUUAACAGCAUUGGCUGUAGACGUUUAGAGUCGUUACUCUGAACAGCAUUUCCCAAACAGGACAUUCAGUUUUGCACACCACUUACAUACUGGAAGUUUAACACAAUGUGUUACUUUUUGUUUCUGUAGAAAUUUUUGUCAUCUAAGGAAAUAAAUGAGUUUAAAUAUUUCCAAAACUAGGCCUUCUGCCUAGAAAACUCUUUCAGAUUUGAUCUUUUGUAUUUUCUUUCAACUACACUUUAGGUUUGUGAACAGAGGUCAGAUUAUCUUGUCCCUCAUCCUGCAUUCUUCUCCGCCAGUCCCUGCUCACCCCCUCCAGCCCCUCAUUUGCACUGUCUGUACCAGCUUAUAGAUUGCAUACCUGAUUAAGAACUUCUUGAAGGUAGGGAACAUUCUCUUUAUAUGCUUUCUCCAAUGCCUAAUAGGAUGUUUUGUUCAAAAGGUGCUUAAAAAAAUGAGGACAUGAAUAUAACUGUGGUCGUGUUGUGUAUAUUCGGAUGCAGGCACUGUCAACUAUGAUGAGGCUAAAGUGGAGGCUUUUUAUUCUCGAAGGAUGACAGUUGAAUACUAUGACAGGGAUCACGUAUGCUACACAUUGAACAAAAACAGUCUUUUUCCCAUUAUAAUUUAGGCUAAUCUAUGAAAGAAUUAAAUAAUACAGAAAGCUAGUUUACUUCAGUAUGUUGAUAACAAGUUACUACAAGGGGUGAAAUAGGCUGAAAAGAGUAAGCUUGGAUAAAUGUAGAGGCAAGAUGUAGAAUGGAUAGUCAAGGGAAGCUGCAUGUUUUGAGUAAAUCUCUGAACUUUGAAGCUAAUGUGAGUAGCUGCCGUCUUGGCGUCUUUGCCUUGAUUGAGCCAUUCUAUUGGACUGGCAGGGCCCUGAUCUUGACAGUAGGGCAGUUCUCAUGCUCACAGAGAGUGUAAUGUAUCAGUUUUAAUUUUGUAAUUAUUUUAUCUUUGUUCCCAGCACCCUUCAUCAUCCUCACCUAGCAAAACCCCAACCUGGUUAGUACAAUACUUCUCCUGGUCCAUUCCUGCAUGCACACAGCUGAGUACCAUUGCAGAAAAGCAUGCAACCAGACCAACUGGCUUCAUGUUGACUAUAUAGGAUGCAGGUAGGAGGUUAGAAGUCGUGGUGGCCAAUUGAUGUUCCUUUCUGAUUGUGUCUACUUUCUUUCAGUGAGAUAAGGAAAUGAGGUCACCAACCAGGAUCAGGAUGAGGAAGGAGGUGAUGGAGAUUUGAGGUGAGAGGAGACAUCCAGGAGAGUGACGGAGUGAAUGGGCAAAGCAUGUGAUGCCAUCUCCCCUUCAGCUGUUGUCCACAUUUCUCAAUUCCCAUUUACAGCAAAACUCCCCCAAAGAGUGAUUAUACUCCCUGCCUUCAGUUCUACUUCCUGCUCAUCUUGAAACCACUCUAAUCAAGUAUUCACUCAAAAUGCCUCUGAAACUAUUGUCAAGGUCACUGGUGAAUUACAUGUUAUUAAAUUUAACAGUCAAUUUUCAGUCCUUAACUUUCUCGACUUAUCAGUGGCAUUUGAUAGUGGAUUGCUCCCUUCCCUGUGAAAAAAUUUCUUUGCUUGUCUUCUGUUUUGCGGCUGCUUGCCUACUUCCUCCUUCUCUGUCUACGGUACCAAUUCUUCAUCCUCUCUCUGACUUAAAUAUUGGAGAACUCAGGUUUCAUUCCCUGGAGCUUGUCUCUAACCACACUCGCUCUGUUGGUGGUCUCAUCCACAUAUAUGUGGAAGGCUUCCAAAUUUAUAUCUCCAUCACAGACCUUUCCCCUGAACUCCAAGUGCAUAGACCCAACUGCUCACUUGACAUCUGCACUUGAAUGUCUAACAGGCUUCUCUAACCAAACUUCUAAUCUUUCCUCCAAAAAACUCACUCCACUCCUGAUUCCUCCCCAUUGCAGGAAAUGAUAACUCUACGCUCUUAGUUGCUCAGGCUAAAAAUUUGGGAGUCAUCCUUGCCUCUUCCCUUUCUCUUAUAUUACACAUUCAACUCUGUAAGCAAAUCCUGUUGUUUCUACCUUCAAGAUAGAGUCAAUGUCUGAUGGUCUCUUACCACCUUGUUGCUUCCAUUCUGGUCUAAGUUGCUGUCAUCUCCCACCUGGAUGGCUGCAGCAGCCCUGUAACCAGUGUCCCUGUGACGUCAGCAGUCUUUUCUCCCAAGCAGCAGCCACAGGGAGGUCAGGGAGGACUUCCUGAAGAAGUAAUUCUCGAACCAAGAUAGGGAAGAAGAGGAGGAGAAGCUGAAUACGCCAAGAGGAGAGAAGAUCCUUCCAGGCAAAGGGAAAUACACCUUCCUGUGGGUGGAAGCGUGGUGAGAGCAAGGGACUAAGGAAGGCCUCAUUCCCUUGUAUCGGACACCUCCCUGAUGGCUGACAUGAGGGCCACCAGGAACGCAGGCUCAGUUCAACACACUGAUGACCGUGAAGUUACUGUGUUAGUCUUUCUGGUCCCAAGUUCAGAAAUUCCAGGGAAAGACUUUGAUGAACCCUCUUGGGUCAGGGGACUAGUUGGAGGGGUGGAGCAGCAUGCCUGGGCCAGCUUGGGUCACUUCCUCACCCUGAGACAAAUCCCUGUGGCCAGAGAGGUGAGAUCUCUAAAAAGAUGGCAGCUACCUCCAAAUCCCCCUUCAAACGUGGAGAGGCACAUUUCCCCCGGAGAACAUGAGGAUGCUCCACUGACUAGACAAGGCACUAGAUGCCCACUGUAGUGACUGAGCAGGAGGGGCUUUUUGUGGUCCAAGAAUUAAGAGGUUGGAGACAUAGUGUUCGGAGAAGCAAGAUGACACCACGUUGGAACUUUGGGAAGAAAAAACCUUAGGAAAAACUUCCUGUAUCAGGAAGUGGCAAGUAAACUGUGAGUAGUGAUAUUUUAGUCAGUUUUAAGUUGAAUAAAUGCCCUGUGCGGUUCCCAGGGAAAGCUGUUGCCUGUGAAAGCUUUGUGUUAAUGGGGCCUGAUCCAAUUAACAAGACGGGCCGUGUCCUCUUCAAGGAGAAGAAGUUUAAUAGAAGAUAGAAACCUGCAGGAGCAGUUGUUCCAUGAUGGAUGGUGACUGCCAACUGAACUGGGAGUUAUAGUUUUUCAGAAAGAAAAAAAGAAGGAAGGUGAUAGGUGAGCAUCAGGAAAAUGCUAGCACCAUUUUCCUUUCCGAUCUCAGCAUCAUCUCGCACUGGUGCUCAGUCCUUCCUAUUUGUCUCUCUACAUCCAUUUUACACCAUCAUCCCAGUUUGUGGAGAGACUGACCUGAAUGAACUGUGUUCAUGAGCAUCCUUGUGUGCUACCCAUGAGAUGACCAGCAGCGUGGGGAGGAGGUGAGGCAGGGUGUUUAGUCCGGGGCUCCCUGUUGGUUCACCCUGGUCCUGUAGAACGACAGGGCAGCAUCUGCUCUCUCCAGGGGUAGUGACAGCUUUCUGCUAUUGUUGGUCCUGAGAUCCUCCUCCAUUCCUUACUUCUCCAAACUCUGCUCACUCUUUUUGUGAACAAUCCCCUUGUUAAACUCUAUUCAAUUUCCCAGUCUGAGUGCACAAUUUAUUUCCUGCUGGGACUCAGGCUGAUAUAAGGACGUGGGGUAUUCUAACUGAACAAUUUUAGGGAGCUAAAGAAGAUAGGGGUGAUUGCAGACUGUUUUGUGGAGUUUGUGUAGAGGCACAAAGACAAAUCUGAGGAGACUGAAGUUAUACCGCAAAACGCCCCACAGAGAACACGCACUCACUGAAACCAGAUGUCUGCAACAGUCAGAGAAGGAAGCAGCCUGAUGCCAAAUGGUCCACAUCCAGGUGAUCAUCACAAAGGUAGAAACAUGAAUUAGAAUACAUUUUGGAGAAGUUUGCAAACGGAUGAUGCCCUUUCUGCAUUAUUGAACUCUAGCCAGUCAAAGGUUCACAGAAAGGUGAUGAUAAUAAUGCACUUUUUCUCUAUUUCUUUGGCGUGUACACCCUCCAGCUUUAAUGUCUCCUUUGUUGUAACAUUUAUUUGGCAUGUCCUGUGAUCCUUGCAUGAUAUUGAUCUAUAAAAUUGGAUGAACAAACAGGCCACCAGUUCACCUGUAUCGAAAUAGCUCUAAAGGGGAAGACAUCUGGGUGGAUAGAUGAGACGGCACUUACGCAGCCAGAGGAACCCAAAAUAAACAGAAGGAAAAAAAAUAAACCUGAGAUGCCGCAGAAUUCGGGAAGCAAUUUAUAUACUAACUCUAUGACGGUGGAGGAACUUUCAGGAGAAAAAGUCUGACAUUAACCUACGAUGGAGACAGCAGGCUGCACUCAGUGAUCGGUAGGCACAGUUUUUGAAAUGAGUGUGCGUUGCACUUGCACUUGCAUUUGUGAGUGUGCACAAUGCUCAUAGAUAGAAGAGAAAGAGCAAGUUAUGGUUCCUUGUUAUGAUCUUAGCUUAGUGCAUCACCUGACAAAGGGCUUUGCAUAUUGAAAAUGUAAGCAUUAGUUGAACAAAUGAACAGAAAUGUCUGCUGAAAAAUGAGCACAAACCACCAGCAUGUUAAUAAAUGAACACUUUUGUUCUCAGUGUAAUGUUCUGCUUGUUUAACUGAUUGUUGUUUUGAUUGCAAUCUCUUCACUGACGAUAGUAUUGAUAAACCUAUCAAAGAGAUAUAUUGAGUGUCUGUUUACUGAAAGUAAAUUGCUGGGAUUUCAAACACCUUUUGGAUCUACUCCUAAAGGAGUUAUAAAACAUCUCUUAAUUUGUUAAUCAUUAAUAUUUGGCCCCUGUGACUUGUGUGUGUAAAUAUACACAGUAGAUGCUCAUUUUGUCAAGUUGUUUCUGACUCAGAUGCUGUGUUUCCUUGGCCACUUCUAACCUGAGCAAAAGUGUGGGUGACAGAGUAGUGAAAAUCCAGAGUCUCCAUCACGAGUCUCCAUCACAUGAACAAGUAGAAGAUGUGUCCCCACAUGGAGGCUUACUGCCAUCGUCUUUAUGUAUUUAUGAAUUUGCAUAGUAACGAAUGCCCUUUUAGGUUGAAUUAUUAGAAUUUUAUCAAUGCCUCGAUCGUUACUUCAAAAACUAAUUUUGUGCCAUCUGUGUUCAUUGGAUGAGAGGAAAAAGGAGAAAAUAUAUUUCAUAUGUCAGACUCCUACAUAAAUGUAGGUGCAGCUUUGACUUGAGAUGCAACACUGGGCUGCUAUGGAAUUUUUACAUGCUGUGUAAUAAAAGUCUGCAAUCUGAUACCUCACACAUCUCCAUUAACCUCCGACAUUGAAUUUGUUCGAUUCUGAUUGUUUUUUCAUUGAUACAAGUGUUUGGUGAGGAAUUAGGAGCUUUCCUUCACAAAUGUUUUGUUUGAUUUACAGCAUUUUGGGCUGUGAUAUUCCUGGUUAGAAUACUUUACUGUUGAAUUCUUUAAAAAAAAAAAUCAGUGGAACUCCCAGAGGAUAAUGUGCAUCAGUUCUAUGUUAAAUUCUUUGUUCAGACUUAUUAUUUCAGCCUCCAAAAUGUGUUUUCACUAACAUAAUAGCGUGAUAAAUGCAAAAAGUGUGUGCGCAGCUUUAAACAUUUGGAAAUGCUUCUAAAGGUCGCUUUUCUACUGGGCAGCUUACUUUUUCUAUAAAGCUGUUUCUGUUCCAUACCCUACUGUCCCAAGGUUUCCAAAAGUUGAACAUGAACUCUGGAGGAAUUCUCCUUUGGACUUAAAAACUGGAGUUGCCUGGCAGACAGUUUUUAUUCUUGUCUGACUGAGUUCCCCAGCUUUCUCCCUUCUUGUGUCCUUGGACAUCAGUUUCACUUGUUUUCCUUUGAAUGGGUCAGAGUGGUUUCUCAACUUACAGUACAUAAACCUCCCAGCUAAGUGUCAUGUUCGUCCUGGACUGUCCAUGCUGCUCCACUCUCCUGUUUAACCUUCCUCAUCACCUCCUCUCCUCCAGCACUUAGUAGACAUGAACCAUCAAAAUUCAAUGCCACCACCAAAACAGCCUACAUCACGAAGACAGUCUACCCCUUUACACCCGUAUCUGCUCUUCCCGAGCUGGCAGCCAGUAGCCACAUGUGGCUGUUCAGCACCUGCCGUGGAGCUAGUCCAAAUUGAGAUGGGCUGUAAGUGUGAAGCAUGUACCAGAUUUCCAAGACUUAGUGCAAAUAAAAAGGAUGUAAACAUCUUAUUAAUAAUUUUUACAUUGAUUACAUGUUGAAAUGGUGAUAUUUUAAGCUUGUUGGUUUAAAUAUAAUGUUUCAUUAAGAAAUUAAAAUAUAUUAUUAAGAAAUUUUA